rnacentral:rRNA from 1 species
GACGAACGCUGGCGGCGUGCUUAACACAUGCAAGUCGAACGGUAAGGCCCUUCGGGGUACACGAGUGGCGAACGGGUGAGUAACACGUGGGUGAUCUGCCCUGCACCUCGGGAUCAGCCUGGGAAACUGGGUCUAAUACCGGAUAGGACCACUGCCUGCAUGGGUGGUGGUGGAACGCGUUUGCGGUGUGGGAUGGGCCCGCGGCCUAUCAGCUUGUUGGUGGGGUGAUGGCCUACCAAGGCGACGACGGUGCGCCGGCCGGAGAGGGUGACCGGCCACACUGGGACUGAGAUACGGCCCAGACUCCUACGGGAGGCAGCAGUGGGGAAUAUUGCACAAUGGGCGCAAGCCUGAUGCAGCGACGCCGCGUGAGGGAUGACGGCCUUCGGGUUGUAAACCUCUUUCAGCACCGACGAAGCGCAAGUGACGGUAGGUGCAGAAGAAGGACCGGCCAACUACGUGCCAGCAGCCGCCGUAA